CCCACCAGCGAGCCGCCGCCGCCCCCAAGCCCCUCCCACUAGCGAGCCGCCGCCGCCCCGAUCCCCCUCCCACCAUCGCACCGUCGUCGCCCCCAAGCCCGUCUCACCAGCGCGCCGCCGCCGCCCCGAUCCCCCUUCCACCAGCGCGGCGCCGCCACCCCCAAGCCCCUCCCACCAGCGCACCACCGCCACCCCCAAGCCCCUCCCACCAGCGCGCCGCCGCCGUUGCCCCGAUCCCCCUCCCACCAGCGCGGCGCCGCCACCCCCAAGCCCCUCCCACCAGCGCACCACCGCCAACCCCAAGCCCCUCCCACCAGCGCGCCGCCGCCGUUGCCCCGAUCCCCCUCCCACCAGCACGCCGCCACCACCCCAAACUCCCUCCCACGGCCAUAUCACCCGCGCCGCCGGCCGCGCCUCCCUCCCGCACGCCACCUGCGGCUGCCACGCCAUGGCAGGCACUGAGCCAUUGCGGUAGUACAACUGCACGCUCCACCGCUGGUCAUGAGAAGAGUUGCGUGCAGGCCACCCGUGCUCUUCCCUGGAUCCGAUUCAGUUGUCUUCCUCUCAUCCUCUCUCUGUUUGCGUGUGUGUAUGAAGGAAGUGAGAGGAGAUAGAACAAGGGAGUGAGCGAUCCCUAUUCUCAUGUCUGUUAGAUGUGGGUAUGUGAUUUCCCAAUGUCAAAUCCCACGUUUGUCUUGAUUAGUUGUAGUUUUAUGGAUCUUGUUCUUGUGCAAUGUAAAUCUGUGUAUAGUUCACCCAUUUUCUCUCUGAAACUGUGAGCUGACAGAGCAGAGAUGAGUUGACAGUGUGGGUUCAGGUAGUGAGAUUUGCAGCUAGUUGUUUACUUGUUUAGGUGGUUGCAAGGGCUUAGUCCAUGAGUUCUAUUUGAUUACAGUCAGGCCACUAGUUAGUAUUGUGGUACUCCGUUGCAAGAAAAAUGGGUCGUCGGUUCAGUUAUAGGCACCCAACUCUGAAGAUUUUGAAUUUUUAGCAUGGUAUUUUAAGUUUGUUUUUUAUCAUAUAAUGUAAAAUUGUAAACAUGUUUCCAAUGGUCUUUGCUCCCAGUUCUAAACUUAUUCAGUAUGUUAGUACAGUCGUCGCGGUCGCCACCCCGACGCCUAACCCGCCAACCUGCGUCGCGUUGCCCGGGAUCCCCGAGCACUGUCGUGCCCCGUCACCGGUGCCUGACGGUGAGGGCUACCGUCUUUCCCGACAAAGCAGGCUACCAUCCGUCCAUUGACAAUGCGCAUGUCCAGCCGUUGCUGCAUCUCUCUCUGCCCGUGGAUGCUCCUCGAUCCAGGAGGUGCUAGCUCAUGUUGGCUGGAACUAGGAUGCAAAAGAGUUGACGGAUCCAUGCCGCACAAGCACUGGUGCUCUGCUUUCUUCUUACUUUGUGUUCUAAUUUGCUUUCUUCUUAUUUUCAGUUUGCGAGAUACAAAAAGAAGUUAAAAAAAUGUUGUGCCUGGAGUUCAUAUUAUUUGCUACCCCAUGAUGUACGUCUAUAGUUUCUCCCUCCAAAUGUGUUGGUCCAUGUGGUUGUUUUUUUGUUUUCUUUUGUUUUGGAUCUACGAAAAAGGUUAUUGAAGCUCAAAUGUGAUAAGCACAUAAGUUCAGAUCUCCGCUGCUACAAAGUUCACGUAUACCUCUGUCUGUUUUAAUCGUGACAUACAAAUUUUGCACUACGAGAAAGUUCAGAGGCAAGAAAGUAGAAAAUAAAGAACACAAAAAUAUCAACAAAAAAUUCACUAGGAGAAAAGUUCAAGUCAGGAUAUGCAAGAAAAGUUCUUAUUUUAUUUCUGUUCAAUUUCAAAUUCUAGUGAAAUUUCAUUUCUUAUUUAAUUUAGUCUAGUUUCUUAUUUUAGUUUAGUUCAAUAUCUAAUUUUUAUUCAGAUCAAUUCUUAUUUUAGAAAAAAAUUUGAAUUGUUUCUUUAUCUACAUUCUUCUAUUCAACAUCAGGGAGAAGGUGCCUCAUGUUAAAAGUGUGCCCAGAUUUUCUAAGUUUGACAGUUUUUCAGUUGGUGUAGAGCUUGUCAAAUCGACAGUUUUUCAGUUCGUGUGGAGCUUGUCAUAGUUUUAUGCAGAUAAAGCUUUAUAAAAAUGCACUAAAAGUGUUCUGUUUUUUGGUAUCUCACAGAUGUGUGUAGCUAUUGUAUGUCUUCUGAAUCAUGAUGCUUGUUGUCCUUUUGUACAUAUCUUUAGUGUGCGUGUCGAAGGCCAGUAAGUUCUACUGCCAGUAUACGCCAAGUUCAGAGAUGUUGCCGCCGAUGGCAUGGAGUGAGCCGCAUCUCGCACCUCCACCAGCUGCAGUUCACGGCCUCCGCCAGCUGAAGGUCCUGAGGAUCAUUUUUCUCUGAUGUCCAUGUAUCGAGAUAUGGUAUCUGAUCAGUUCCACAAAUAUUUGGAGCUAAACAACUUAGCUAGUUCGGUCGUACUGACCCAUUGGCCUGUUUUACUACCUCUCUAAAUAAAGUUGCAAGAAUGACUAACACGUGAAAAUAGGAAUUAAUGUGUAAACCGGUACAUGCUCCUUGUUGAUAAAAUCUAGCCCAUUCAAAGUAGUCAUGAUUGUACUGGCAUGCUAUGUUUCAUCGUUAUCUAACAGUGCAUACAUCGUUAUCUAAGUGCAGUACAUCAUUAUCUUAUAGUGCAGUACGUCGUUAUCUUACAGUGUAGUACAGUAAUUCAUGAUCUAACAUUUUUACAGGAACUGCAUGCUAUAUACAGAAAUUCUAUAGAAACUACUGCAGAUACAUGACUUAUGAGGCUACCAGAGGCUACUACACCUCCAUAUUAUUGACAACCUGUAACUUGCUUCCAACACACUAGUAACACAUUCUAAGGUUCCUAAUCGGCUACUUCAGAGCGCUGUUGCUAUUCUGUGGGUAAAUGUCCUCAUUUUGUUGAUGGUGGCAUCUUACAAAGAAAAGGAAGUUCGAGAUGGGAACACUUUUUCAAAUGCUCACCUCCCAUUCGUGAUGCUGCCAACAAGGAAAACCUCUGGGAAGCUCUGCUGUACAAACACAUCAGCAUAGUAAAGGAUGCGGCACCUUGGGGAAUAAUGCCUACAAUGCGCAAGCCCAGGAUGACGACGCUGAUCACUAGCACGAAGGAUAGGCUAAGGAUGAAGUACACGAUGCAGGCAAUGAGGACAAUGAAAACAUGCAAUCUGUAAACAUAGCAGCAGCUGCAAGUUCUUCUGUGUAUUAUGAUAUGAUUGCUACUUUUUAAAAGAAAGUGUAUAUGAUAGUUUGAUGUUUCUGCAAGAAAUGAAAAAAUGGUUUGAAUUAAAAACAUUGAUCAGUACGAAUAAAAAACAAUUAUCUGUUCGA